rnacentral:lncRNA from 1 species
GCCCAUGGCUGAGAGGGUUUCCAUCCAAGACUGAUGGAGCGGAGCCAUUUCCCAGGGCUGAGGGGCAGAACCACCUCAAAGGUUCAUGAGAAUUAGGCCACUGCCAAGGGCUGAAAAGACAGAGCCACGUUUAGCACUCCAGAGCGUUUAGCUGCCAUCCAAAGCUGAGGGGGUGGAGCCCCCACCAGCGCUUCAGAAGGCGAGGCCACUUCUCAGGGCUGAGGUGGCGGAGCUACCUCCAGGUCUCCAGUGGAGGGCAGGGACACCCCCUGGGAUCCAGAGAACCAAGUGACUGCCAAGGCCUGAGUGGGCGGGACCUCUACCCAGGGUUCAGAGGACAUGAUUGCCAUGUAAGGAUGAGGAACCAGGGACAGGGUAGCCUCUUCUUUCCAGAUAUUGGGGCAGCCACCUGAAGAUGAAGAGGUGAGUCCAUUGGACAGCGCCACAGAAAAUUAUACUGAAGUCUUAAAACCUAAUGGAGUUUUACCUGUGUGUUGUAAACUGCCUUAGACAUUUUUCCAUCCAGUUUCCUUUUUUUUUUUUUUUUCCUUUUUGAGGCGGAGUCUCACUCUGUCACCCAGGCUGGAGUGCAGUGGAGUGAUCCUGGCUCUCUGCAACCUGUGCCUCUCAGGUUCAAGUAAUUCUCCUGUCUCAGCCUCCUGAGUAGCUGGGGCUACAGUCACCCACCACCACGCCUGGCUAAUUUUGUAUUUUUGGUCUGACGGGGUUUCACCAUGUUGGCUGUGCUGGUCUCAAACUCCAGACCUCAGGUGAUCCACCCGCCUCAGCUUAUGUGCUGGGAUUACAGGUGUGAGCCACCAUGCCCGGCCCACUCUCCCUUUUAGAAUGGAAGUGUUUAUCCUACGCCUGUCCCACCAUUGUGUUUCGGAAGCAGAUAACUUGUUUUCUGGGUUUAACGGAUCUACAGCUGAAGAGUAAUUUUACCUCAGGAUGGACUAUGGCCCGAACCUCACCCACCCCUGAAUUAGAUGAGAUUUUGAACUUCAAGUUGAUGCUGGAAUGCGUUAAGACUUUCGCAGCCAGGUGAAGACCAAGACACAGCGGGAGAAUUCCAUCUGCCAAUGAAGGCAGAGACUGUGGUGAAGAUGCUGGCAAACCACCAGAAACUAGGAAGAGCAAAGAAGGACUCCCCUACAGAUUUCAGAGAAAAAGCAACCUUCUGCCAACUCUUAUUUCAGACAUCUAGCCUCCAAGACAUUGAGACAGCACAUUUCUGUUGUUUUAAGCCACCCGGUUUGCGGUACUUCGUCAUGGCAGCCCUGGGUAGCUAACAUAGGCUCUGACAUCCUAUGCUGUCCCAUACAUUGAUGGCCCCCUUACUCUACUCAUGCUCUCAAUCCCAUGCCAGACCAUCUUUGAUGUAAACACCUUCAUUGACUUGCUUGGGCUCUGACACCUCACACUUGGCUCCCCUUAAACAUGGAUGCCUUCCGUUCUCCUCCUGGCUUCUGAUUCUUUACACAAAACCAACUCCCACGGGGAACAACUCUUUCACUUUCCUCGGGCUCUGCCUCCACUUCAGGCUGCCUUAAUCUGUGGCUCCCCUCCUUAUCCCAGUUGAGCACCAACACCUAGAGCUACGCCUCUGUUUGGACACCUAUCUUGCUCCAACCCACGUAUUGAACUGUUCUAUAAGUGACGAGAAGGAAAAGAAAAGAACAGGAAACAGGAAGGGAUAAAAGAGCCAGACUUGGUUUUAAGAAAUAAAAUAUGAAGUCGAAGUGUCCUUCCUAUCCCUUCAUAAUUUCAUUUGCCUCCGUUUCUCCCUAGCACUACUACUGUCCUGUAUUUAUUUUCCUCUUUUUCAUGCAGGAUUUUAUACUACCAUGCAUAAGUAACUAUCCAUUAACAUGAUUCAAGCACGUUAUAUCAUUCCACAGUUAUAUCAACUCCUGCUAGUUUUUGCUCAACAUUAUGUUUUGAAACACAUCUUGUUAGUGUACAUAGCUUCAAGUCUUUCAACUUAAACUGCUAUAAAGGCAUUUAGUAA